GAUGAAGAACGUAGCGAAAUGCGAUAAGUAAUGCGAAUUGCAGAAUCCGUGAGUCAUCGAAUCUUUGAACGCACAUUGCGCCCUCUGGUAUUCCGGAGGGCAUGCCUGUUCGAGCGUCAUUAUCACCCCUCAAGCCCGGCUUGUUGUUGGAUGCAGCGCUUAUCCCGCUCCUCCCAAAGAUAAUGACGGCGUCUGCGACGACUCCUGUACACUGAGCUUUCGGGCACGUACACGGCUAGAAGUCCAGACCCGGUCGCCGUCCCCACCGCGGGGACACCCAUUACCACAAGGUUGACCUCGGAUCAGGUAGGAAUACCCGCUGAACUUAAGCAUAUCAAUAAGCGGAGGA
rnacentral:misc_RNA from 1 species